rnacentral:rRNA from 1 species
GCUUACGGCCACACCCUCUGGUUCACGCCCGAUCUUGUUUGAUCUCGGAAGCUAAGAUAGGUUGGGUCUGGUUAGUACUUGGAAUGGAGACCGCCUAGGAAUACCAGGUGCUGUAAGCC